rnacentral:rRNA from 1 species
UACGUAGGGUGCGAGCGUUAAUCGGAAUUACUGGGCGUAAAGCGUGCGCAGGCGGUUUUGCAAGCCGGAUGUGAAAUCCCCGGGCUCAACCUGGGAAUGGCAUUCGGGGACUGCAAGGCUGGAGUGCGGCAGAGGAGACUGGAAUUCCUGGUGUAGCAGUGAAAUGCGUAGAUAUCAGGAGGAAUACCGAUGGCGAAGGCAGGUCUCUGGGCUGACACUGACGCUCAUGCACGAAAGCGUGGGGAGCAAACAGG